rnacentral:rRNA from 1 species
AGUGAACGCUGGCGGUAGGCCUAACACAUGCAAGUCGAACGGCAGCACAGUAAGAGCUUGCUCUUACGGGUGGCGAGUGGCGGACGGGUGAGGAAUACAUCGGAAUCUACUUUUUCGUGGGGGAUAACGUAGGGAAACUUACGCUAAUACCGCAUACGACCUACGGGUGAAAGCAGGGGAUCUUCGGACCUUGCGCGAUUGAAUGAGCCGAUGCCGGAUUAGCUAGUUGGCGGGGUAAAGGCCCACCAAGGCGACGAUCCGUAGCUGGUCUGAGAGGAUGAUCAGCCACACUGGAACUGAGACACGGUCCAGACUCCUACGGGAGGCAGCAGUGGGGAAUAUUGGACAAUGGGCGCAAGCCUGAUCCAGCCAUACCGCGUGGGUGAAGAAGGCCUUCGGGUUGUAAAGCCCUUUUGUUGGGAAAGAAAAGCAGCAGGUUAAUACCCCGCUGUUCUGACGGUACCUAAAGAAUAAGCACCGGCUAACUUCGUG